ensembl:snoRNA
UGCCACACCCAUCUUAGACAAUGGCCCAGAAAGCUGCAAUAGUGCCAUUGAAACCAACGGACUCUGAUCCCCUUCCCUGGGACUCACAGAUAAAUUUGGUUACAGACACUA